AAUGGCAGGUCAGCAUACUGCCGUGAAUACGUUCCCCGGCCCUUGUACACACCGCCCGUCACACCAUGAGAGUUGGGAAUACCCGAAGCCUGUGAGCUAACUUAUAGAGGCAGCAGUCGAAGGUAGAAUCAAUGAUUGGGGUGAAGUCGUAACAAGGUAGC
rnacentral:rRNA from 1 species